rnacentral:rRNA from 1 species
UACGGAGGGUGCAAACGUUGCUCGGAAUCAUUGGGCGUAAAGCGCACGUAGGCGGCUCGUUAAGUCGGAUGUGAAAGCCCCGGGCUCAACUCGGGAAGUGCAUUCGAAACUGGCGAGCUAGAGUACUAAAGAGGAUCGCGGAAUUCCCGGUGUAGAGGUGAAAUUCGUAGAUAUCGGGAGGAACACCGGUGGCGAAGGCGGCGAUCUGGGUAGAUACUGACGCUGAGGUGCGAAAGCGUGGGGAUCAAACAGG